AGAGAGGCUAGGAUGGGACGGCGGUCCCAUGGGGCACGUGAUCCGGGAAGGCCGGCCCCCAUGUUUCUGAUGGGCAACGAAGUGGACGUCUCCUUAGAAAGAAUAGUGUACUUGCAAGCGUAUCUCCUCGAGAUUCGAAGACGGGCGCCUGCUUCCCAAAGAUUAUCGCCGCCUCCGGUGGAAGCCAGCCGGCGGCAGACGGAGGUACUCGCCCGUGGUGCGCGGCCGCGUCACGAGCCGCACGGCUGCUCGCCGUGAUGCGGCAGAUACCGUCAGCCAGAGAAUGGCGCGCGGCCGCAUCGCGAGCCGCACGGCUGCUCGCCGUGAUGCGGCAGAUACCGUCAGCCAGAGAAGGCUUGGGAGACGAGGGAUUGCGGUCGCCGAUAUCGAUCUUCCUCGAAUCUCUUUAUAUUCGCCUUCCAGAUCGUUGGUACCCGUCCGUCACUAAAAGUUUCAAAAACGUACGGCAAUGAGGUCAAACUUUGAUCAAAGAUCAAUCAGAGCUUUCCUUUUGAUGUCUUAUUAGUGUGUGAAACCAAUUAUUCAACUAAUAAUCGGGUAAGAAUUAUCAAUUUUUCACCGAUUGCACGAAAUUGUGAGCAUAUACAAUGAAAAUUUCAGGGCAAUAUGAAACUUUUCUGCUGAUUUUUUUUAGCAGAUGAGCUCAUGGGGGGGGCAAGUGGAGG
rnacentral:lncRNA from 1 species